UAAUCUUGUGAUGUAUGUUCGAAAUCUUGUGAUGUAUAUUCGAAAUCUUGUGAUGUAUGUUCGAUAAUCUUGUGAUGUAUAUUCGAAAUCUUGUGAUGUAUGUUCGAUAAUCUUGUGAUGUAUAUUCGAAAUCUUGUGAUGUGUGUUCUACAAUUCAGUGAUGCGUGCAAUAAAAUUGCAUGACGCAACAGAAAAGUAAGGACAAUUUUCAUUGGUUAGAAAUAACGAAAGUAGCCGGAGCGGUCGUAAUGCACACAUUGACACAACUUCGCAAGCAUGAAAUUAUUGACGAAUUCAACCUAAAGUCAAAAUUAUAGGAACUUUACGUAGGUCUACAGUUUUAAUUUUGGACUCAUGCACUAGGAAUAUCAUAUCAGCAGAAUUGUGCCACUGAAUCAAAGGGAACUCUUUUUUUUUUUAGGUACGCAUGAUCGAUGUAACUUCCUCGAUGGUGUGUUGGCUGUUUGCCCAUGUGUAUUUCGGGGUAUAGUGCGGCAUGCAGUCUGGUCAUCAACGAAGAGUUUUGACACCUGUAAUACCCAUAUUUCUACCAUUCACCUCUGUAACCUUUGUUGAGUUCAUCAGACUGUCCAAGACAGGAAGUUGAGGAAUAAAGUUGACAGGACAUCCUGAACUGUCCUCGCUACCAGCUUAUGAGGGAACCAGCUGCAGUGGACAAAGUACGUUACAUCAUAGGAUAAUAGCAUUGAAUUGGAUUCUUGAACCAGAGCCAUGUGAACCUGGUCCACCUGUACCUCUCAUUGAAGACCUGUUAACAUCACCAGAGUAUGUUCAUUCUGAUACCCCUAUGGUAUGGUUACAGCAUGCAUUAUCCCUGAAUCCAUUAAAAGAGCUGCAUUGGCAACGAAACAACCCAAUGUGGUCGAUUGUAAGGAAAUAAAGCAUAUCAGCUUCCAACUUUGGUGCAGUUCUCAGUUCUAAGCAAAGGCGAUUGACAUUGUCACUGAAGAAACAGCUGAUGUCGGCUUACAAUCUGGAGUCCAUCAAGGCUGUUGCAUGGGGUAUCACUCAUGAAGAUGAUGCUUUGAGAAAGUAUGAAAAGGACUUUGAUGCAGCUGUAGAGCAGUCAGGAUAUGGUUGCAUGAAUCCGGAGUGUUGGGAGCUUCACAUGAUGGCUUAGUUGUUCGACCACCAACAUGCAGUGUAUUUUAUCAAACUCCAGAAGCCAAAGACGCCAUUCCUGAUAUUGUAGAGGUGAAGUGUCCAUAUACAGCAUCGUCUUCAACAGUAGCAGAUGGGGCACAAAAUUUGAAGGAUUUUUCAUAGAUCUUAAACAAGAUACCCUGUGCCUGAAAACCAGUCACCCAUACUAUCAUCAAAUUCAAGGCCAGCUACACAUAUGUAACAAAACAUUCUGCGACUUAAUUGUGUGGACAAGAGUAGACUGCAUUGUGAUUAGAAUAGUAAAAGACAUUGAAUGGACAGCAAAUGUUCCAAAGCUGAUAGAUUUCUACAUUAACAUUUUCAUUCCAGCACUGAUGGAAAACUGAGUUCUGGUUUGAACUUCUUGACACUUAGUUUUGUACCUCUAGAAUUUUCUAACAAUGGAAAAUGGGUAAUCAUGUUAAAUGUGUUGAAUGUUCCUAAGUCUCAUAAAUGUAUGACAUGAUAUGUCACAAUCCAUCAUAAAACUUCUGGCUUAUAAGACUAUUUUAAAUAGCAAUGAUGAUUAAUAAAAUCUAUGUACUACAUAAAAAAAGAAUAUCAAAAUUUAGAAUCAUUUUAUUAAUGAAUUGAAGAUGUUAUUCUCAAAGUGAAAAUGUAACAUUUUUGUCUUUCUUAAUAGAUAAAUUGUUGAAAACAUGAA